GGGGAGGAUCCGCGAGUUUUCGAAGAUAAUUAUUAGUCGUUUACGUUUUCGGAAGUUCUUUUAAGCCUUUGGUUCCUUUCAAAUAGGUUGAUUAGCCACACCAACUUAAUAAAAUCGAGUGCUUUAAGUCUGCAUGCUUUUUUACUUGGUAGAAAGCUAUCCUAUUUUCCCCGUGAAAAGAUUCUAGAAAGCGUUUUUUUUUUUUAAUCUUUCGUUAUUUUAACGCUCCUUUGAACGAAGGCCGGAAAAAAUAUCUGGGGCAUGUGUAAAUCUUUAGUCCUGUAUAACUAUUGAAAGGCUGGUUUUUUUCAUGUGGGUAGCCUACUUACCGACAUGCUACCUAGUUAAAUUGCUGGAGUGAUUAAGUAGAUUGAGAAUUAUCCUGACAUGGCUAGUUUAUCUAGUACCUGUGAUGGCUAAGCCUAAUACUAAAUUUAACUUGUAGGACCCUUUAUUCAUAAUUACAUUUCGUAAAUUCUUGGCGUUGGAUGGAGUCACGAAAUGUGGUGACCUAUGUGUAUUAAAGGGUUGUUAGAAUUCAGAGGAACGAAUGAAAUAGAAGGUGAAAAGGUCGGACUUUUCAAGUUGAGAUAACUGAAGCAGGAUGGAUCUAUGAUUCAGAGGACGGAGCAACGGGGUCGGAGCUGCUGCCAAAAUCUAAUAGCAAGUGCUAACAGACGCUGUUCUGCAUUUCAGAGUGCCUUGAACUAUUAGUAGUUCAAGUUUAGCAGCGGCUGUAUGUUUAAAUGAAAUUCGUCUAUUUUAGGACUUAAUGAUUAUCAAAAGGUAUCUCUUGUGUGUUUUGGUAGCUCAGGAUAAUUGCCCACUGAUUAUGUUGGGAUGAAUAGCCAUAUUUUUCCAUUAAUAGAAAUGGAAUGGGGGGGAAUGAUAAGUUUGCUGAAUUCAGGAUAACAUUUGAAAUUAGGUAUUUAUGUAAGGAGACAUUAAUCACAUAAAAUUAAUUUACUUUUUCUCAUGGUAUGGUCAUAUUGGUUUUAUAGUGAUGUGCCUUUUGGUCUUUCCAAAUUACUAACCCACUUUUCCACACUCUGAAAAUUAAAUAAGGAAGCUUUUCUUGGUGAAAUGAUACAUAUCGAGUCAGACAGUCAAGAGGGAAGGUCUGAGGGGCUUGACCAAUGGGAAUGAAUUUACGAUUAAGUCAGCACUUAAAAUUCAUUACUUCCCCUGCACAAGUGGCUGAUUACCCGGUUACACCAUUUGGGCUUAUUUUAAUGUUCAUUUUUUUUAUAGAGUUACUUGUCUGGCGUGUUGCAGAGUACUCUGUGUUUAAAAGUGGUUAUAAAUAUUUGAUGAACAUAACAUAAUAUGGCCUGUUUCCUGAAACAUGUUUUGUGGUAAACUAUUCCUCUUCCUUCUCUGUGUGGUUUGGAAUUAUUACCAAAGAGAAGCUAAAUAGUUUGUGAUUAACUAUACGUGUCCCAAGUUCAAAUUCUGAAUACACUGUGGUUUCAUCUUCAGAACUGUAAUAAGGAGAUAAUUGAUAAUAGGUGAAGAAAUCAAAGCACGUUAAUUGUUAAGCUAAAUUUUUAUGUGUGUAUGUGUUGACUGGUCGGCAGUGUGCUCACUGCUUUCACAUGCUCGAUCUCAUCUGAUCCAGGCAUGAGAGUUUUAGCUACACUGUAGUUUCACUAAAACAGUCUUUAGAUAUCAGUGAGCUUUGAGGUGGCAUUUUUGCCUAAGCCCAAGCUUUGUUACCUGAAGUCUUUGUAAAAAUAAUUAUACAUAUAAGGGUCAUGAUUUCAGGGCCUUAGUUACUUAUUAGUACCUCUUGGUUUAAACAAAAAUUGAGUGGGAGUCUAGUAUGUUGAAACCAAAUAUUUGGAUUUUCUGGAUUUCUUCUGCUUGUUAGUAGGCCGUCUUCCUUUAAUUCCCCACAGAGUAACAGUGAUCUGUAUGGUUGGUGUCUUUGAAUGGAACAGCCGCAAGGGAAUCUAGUAGAUGUACAGUAGGGUAGUUUUAGAUCUGAAAAAGUCUAAAAUCCUUAGGGGUCUGCUUUUUUCUUUUUUAAAAGAUUAGUAUAAUUUCAUGUGCAUAAUUUAAUAUAGUUUCUACUCUAUUCACUGAGUUGUGCAACUCCCACCACUGUCUAGUUCCAGAACAUUUUCAUCACCACAGAGAGAGACCCGGUACCUGUUAGCAGUCACUCCCCAUUUCCCUCUUCUCCAGCUUCUGGCAGCCACGAAUCUAUGUUGUUCCUCAGGAUUUGCCUAUUCUGGACAUUUCAUUUAAAUGGAAUCAUACAAUACAUGGCCUUUUUGUGUCUGUCUUAGUUCCUCUUCAAGGUUCAUACAUGUACUUCAUUCUUUUUUUUAUGGCUGAAUAAUAUUCCAUUGUAUAGAUAAUAUAGCAGGACCUUAUUUUUCAGGUAAGAGAAUUAAGGCCUAGUUAAGGCUGAACAUGUUUCAAUAAUUUAAUCACAGUUCAACUAUGUUUUGAAUAUUCUUAAUGCACUGCUUCAAGGCCCAUAUUAUUUUUUGAUGGCAUAUAAUUAAUAUUUCAAUAUUGCCAGAUUUAGGGUGCAGUAUUCUAGUUUUUCCCUAGAUAAUCAUCAUUACUGUAUAGGAAUGACAUCUAUUUUACAGAUAUUAUAAACUAAACCACUUAAUCAUUGAGUCGAGUAGGGAAACUAAUGAAAAAAGCUGAGUAUUUACUUAAAACAUUUAGUUUUGAGAAAAACCUAAGGAGGCUUUAAAAUCUUGAGGUUUCGGGUGUUUAGAAAUUGUGGUCUUCACUCAAGGCUCUUGAUAUUUUAAUUAUCUUCUCUGUUAGACCAAAUAUAGAAAUGCUUUGUGCUGGAUAUUUUAAUCAAUAAAUUGAAAGUCGAAAAGUAAUUUUUUCGCAGUGUUAUAUAUUUAUUUAGAAAGUUCAGGUUAUGCCAAAAAUUACUGAUCCUGACCAUUUGCCAUUUCUUAUGAAUUUCCUUCCAUCGCCUUUUUUACCGUGCUUUUUAUCACUAAGUAGGGAUGCCAUAAACAUAAACUCAUGGAGCCAACUCAUAGAAGCCCUCAAAAGUAAUCCCAGCAACCCCGUGACCCCCGCUGGCAGCCUGUGGCCUAGAUCCUGAUUCUCCCCCCCUGUUAGCUCUGGAGACCUGGCUUACUGAUAAACCUCUGCGGUGAGACUCUCCACUCCAGGUGAUUGACCUUUUUUCUUUUCCCUCCCACCACCAAGAGCCGACUUUCCCUAGUGGGAAAAGAAAAAUCCGUAUCAGGAAAAGGUUAGGGCUCCUGACCUACCUACUAGCAUUUUAGGCUUUUGGAAGAGAAUAAAUAAAAUAAUUUUUUCAAAGUAUGCCAGAUUCCUGGGUGGAUAUUUACAAAAGGCCUUUCUAUUUGUUUUGUAUUUGAAGGCUGCUGAGAAAGGUCAGUUGGUUUUAAGGCUGGGAAAUUUAGGGCGCAUAACAGGUUAUCAGCAAAAACAAUGAUUAGAAUAACUUCUUAGGGUCUGCAUUCUUUUAACUCCUUGUCUGCUCUUCCCUGUGACCAUUUUAUAAACACUCGCUCUUAAUACUUUUCGAAAGAGUACGCGAAAGUGAAAAUUUUAAAAAUGUUUAAAUCUGGAUAUUUACCAGUGAGUUGUGUUGUAUAGUAUUAUUGGAUACACUCUCAAACUUUGUAUUUUAAAAUUUGGCAUCUUAAACGUUACUGAGAUGUUGAAAAACGUAUGAAUUUCAUUAUUGUUAACAAAAUAUUAGGACUAUAUGGGGAGGUCUUGGAAGUUAGUUGACUCUAUUGUAUAAAAGUUCACACCUUCCUCUGUGGUGGAGUUUAAUUACAGUACAGGAAAGGAACCAUUUCCUAGUCCUAAGUACCUUGUGUUAAGAAGGCCCAUUCUAUUUAACUUUGUGAUUAAUUAUCAAUAACAGCAAGCCCAGUGGUUUCUGGGAAUCAAAUCAGUAACGGCAUCACAUUUCCUCUUUAGAGGACACUGACCAAAGUAUCUGACCUUGGCAUAUCUUAACUUCUGACUUUGAGAUCUUUGUAAAAUGACUUGUUGGAGUAGUGGGAUCCCUAAAAGCCUUUUCAGUUCCUUUAUAGCAAAAAAGUCCUACUCUUUUUCUGAAUUCUUACAUGACAAUAGGAAACGAUAUAUUCAACUUCUUAAAAGCAAAGCAAUUAAAUUUUAAUGUGACCAGGUAAAAACAAAGCAAUGUCAUUUUAACAUGACCAGACGAAUGGUAGGAGCUUUCUUGAGUAAAAUUCUUAACCAUCCAGUUACUUAAGUCUUACACAGUGGUUUCAGAUACGAUUAAACGUUAAAAUAGGGUUGCUUAAGUAGUUGUGCUGGACUCUCUUUUCUUGUGUAAAUUAUUCCCCUCACAUGGACUAAGAAGUGUGCUGGAAGCUGUUCUUUUGACGUGUGGACCUUUUCUCUUGGAGAGUCACAGACUUCAAGUAGAGUUUCUAGUAUCUCACAGCAUCACACUCUUGAAAAUAACCUGAAGUGUGUCUUUUUGCAUUUUCAACUCAUCCCUCUUUACUUUUCCCUUAUGUCUUCUGGCUUUCUUCUAAGCACUCAGAAAAUUUGAGGGGGAGAGGCCGCUGCCAGUACUCCAAACUGAUAAUUGUAUUUUAAUUUCUUAAUUUGUUGAUAACUUAACAAUUUAUAGUAAUACAGAUGGUUUCUAUAUGAAAUGAGUUUUUUAGAUUUCUAGCAAGGACUAAAUACAGACCUGGAUUUCACACAUGAUAUAUUCCUUUCUGAAUUAUGUAAAACUUUGAAAGUAAAUGACUUCAUUGCCCGCCUUAAAAACCCCUCAAAUACAACAAUGUGAAUAUACUUAAUGCCACUGAACUGUAGACUUAAAAAUGGUUUAAAUGGUAAACUUUUGUAUAUUUUAACACCACACAGUCCACAGACAUUAUAGUCAGUAAAAACCAAACUCCUCGUCAGAACCUACAAGGCCACUCAAGAUUUGGCCCCUGCUUUUCUUUCCGAUGUCCUUCCUCCCUUCUUCCUCUGCUCCCAUUAUGCUCCCACCCACCCUGGCUUUCUUUCAGUCCUUGAACUUGCUUCUUAGUACUUGGUCUUACCUCUGCUUCCAGCGCCCUGACUCCAGGUGUUCACCUUCUCAGUUGCUGCCUUGUCUUUCAAGUCUCAGCUCCGAGAGGUCUCUGUUCGUUCAGAUUAGUAUGCCCACGGGUGCGCAUGCGCACACACAUUACCACUCUGUCUCAUAACUUGUAUUUUCUUUGUAGCACUGUUUGAAAAUGUUUUUUGAUUUUUUUUUUUUUUACUUGCUGCUAAUCUUUUUCCUCUAGAGUGUAAGUCCUGGGAUGUAACCCUGCAGCCUCAGGCUGACAACUAAGGCACAAAGAAGGUUCUCAGCAAGUAGCUGGCGGCCUGCAUGUGUGGGAGUUGUGCCACAAGGCAGGGGCGUGGCCUGCAGGCCAAGAUAUCAUAGAUCACCAGAAGCCUUAAGGGCAGGAGAGAGUGGAGAAGUCUUUUCUUUUUAAAAAAGGCAUGGACUUAAGGGUCAGUACUAGAUUCAAAUCGUGCAUCUGUGACUUACUGCCCUUCUUUAGGUGUGUUACUUGGCAUUUCUGAGGCUUGACUUCUUCAACCAAAAAACAUGGGGUUAAUAUCUUUAAAGAUUUUUGUCUGAAUUGAGAAAUGUGACAGUUGCUGGCAUGAAACAGGUAUGCAGUAAAUGACAGUAUCCUUUCUUAAGGCCUAUUAAAAAGUGGGCAAAACUGGAAACAACCUAUGUCUGAUUUGGGGUUUGUUUUUUGUUUUUUGUUUUUUUUUUUGUUUUUUUUUUUGCCUGUUUCUUAGCAAUGAAUAUCAAACAUUAGCUCUCCCCUAUUUCAUUGGAGGUGUGGGUGAUGGCAGUGGUGAGAAGGUAUUGUCAUUUUUGCCAAAAAUCACCCAAAUGGUCGCCCAAGGUUAAUGGCCUUAAGGUGGAAGGUGUGGAGAAACAAAACUGUGCCAACUGUAAGUAAAUAAAUAAAUAGUAAAUAGGCAAAAAUAGAAAGUCAGGAUCAUGGGGGGAAAGGAAGCAUUAGGGUCAACCCUAAUGAGCCUCCCAGCAAUCAAGAUAAAAAAGGAAACUAACUAUACUACAGCUAACUGAUUCUAAGAUGGGAAAAACUGAUAAAAGGCAAAUUAAGUUUUUCUUAGGACCGAAUUCUAAAAUAAACUGCUUUAUAUCUGCAGGGGACCACUGAGUGGUAGUAACGCACAGAUUCCAGCCGAUAUCGUGUCCAAUUUUAUGUGGUGUCUUAAAGCCACCAAAGGCUUAAAGUAUAACUUAACUGAAGCGAGUCGGGAGGACUCAGUAUCGUGCGUAGCAUUUGCCAUUCAGAGUAGGUCGUUAGCGCCUUACCCUCGAUCCGGCAAAGCCCUUCCUAUGGUAAUUAUGAAAUGAAAGGACUAUAAUACCAGCGCAGACAUGUAUAACAAUAAAGCAUUUUUAAUAAAGGUGUAAAAAAUGAAUCGGUAUUUCUCACUAAUGUAUAUUUUUGAACGAAAGGGGAAACUUACGUGUAUAUGGUUUGUAAAUUAAUGAAAAUGUUAAUUUCUCUUUUAGAACAUCAUGAAUUUCUAUUAUAUUUGGCAAAAACUUCUGAAAUUUUUUUUACAAAAAUUAAAUAAAAUGGCUGAAUAAUAACAAACAUUGACAUUAUUUGAUCUAUUGCUUUAAUAUGUGUCCAGUUCUUGGUGAAAAUGAGACAAACAUUGUCUUUGAUUUCUUUUGGCAUUUCACUGGCAGUCGUCUUCAAAAUGUGAUUUUUUUUUCUAUAUAAAUAGAUUGUUUUCUUGCAUUUUGUUAUUGAAUAGUUAAUGACCCUGUUUGGAAUUUCUGUGCACUGGUCUUCAAGGAGUUCUGCAAAUUAGGUGAUAACACUAUUAAGGAAUAAGUAAGAAACAUAUGGUGAUAAUGUGAAGUUUAAAUGUAUAUUGAGAAAGUGUAUGGUAACCACAGCAAUUAUUUAGAACCUAAACCAACAAAAGAUAUUUUUAAGCAAGAAUAUUGUAUCACCAACAUUGUUUAGAAGUGCAGGUGUUUAGUGAUCGAAAUCAGGAUGAUUUUUAUUAUGGUUUUAAAAUCAUGUACAGACCAUGCACUUACAGACUGUACUCGGGACAGAUUGCUUUCUCUGUGUGUCACCAACUAAAAGUCUCAUUAGACAAAGCUAGUUUUCUCCCGACAUCUGGACAUAUCUCUUCAGUCUCCUUUGCAUGGUCUUCCUCAUUUUCUCAAUAUUGGAAUUACCCAGAUUUUGGUUCUGAGCCCUUUCCCCUUUGUUUAUAUUUUUUCAAUAAGAUAAUAUGUAUUUUGGUGGCUUUUAAUGUAGUCUGUAUGCCAGCAAUUCCCAUAUAUUCCUCUCCAACCUAGAUUUUGUUUUAUCCCCCACACUUGCGUAUCCAAGUACUUCCUCGAAGUCUGUCCACUAGAUGUCACACAGAUAUCUCAAAGUGGAGUUCCAGACCCUCUAUUGCAUGUUGUCUCCUUUCCCAUUGUUCUCUGUCUCAACUGAUGACAGGGCCAUCCUCCAAGAAAUGAAAACAAUUCUGCCCCCCACCCUUCCGAUUCAUUACCCAGCUGUGCUCAUUCCUCCAAAACAAAACUCGCAUCUAACCUGUUCGAAAUCCCUACUGACAAAUGUCCUUUUCAGAGGUGAAUCCCAUCAUUUAGUAAUCUCAUUGUCAGGAAUUGUUCCUUGUUUGAAAUAGAAAACUUUCCAUUUUCCCUAAGUGAAAUCCCAUCAUAUAGUUCAAAGGUCAGCAUGUCUUUUCUGUGGAAGGGCUAGAUAGUAAUUUAGGUUUUGUAGGUCCUGCAGUUUCUGUUGCAGCCAAUCAACUCCAUGUGUCACUGUAGCAGCAAAGCGGCCACAGAUGACAGGCAAACAAUUGGGCGGGGCUCCGUUCCAGAACUUUAUUUAUAAAAAUCGAUGGCACAUGUGCACACCAUCAUUCAUGGCAUUAUUUACGAUAUAUAGGCAAAAGGUGGAACAACCCGAGUGUCCAUCAAUAGAUGAACGUGGUGUAUACCCAUAUAGAAAUAUUAUUGAGCCAUGAAAAGGAAUGAAAUUUUGACGUGUGCUACAGUGCAGCUUGACCUCGGAAACAUGUUCAGUGGAAUAAGCCAGGCACAGAAGGACAAAUACUGUGUAAUUCCACUCUCAAAAGAUACCCAGAGUAGACAGAUUCGUAGAAACAGAAAGUAGAGAAGAAGUUACCAGAGCCUGGCAGGGGAGGGAGGAAGGGUUAUUCUUUAAUGGGCGCCAAGUUUCUGCUGGGGAUGAUGAAGUUUGGGUAUAGAGAGGUGGUGAUAGCUACAGUGUUGUAAAUGUACUCAGUGCCACUAAAUUGCACAUUUACAGAGUGUUAAAAUAAUAAAUACCGUGUUAAUGUCUGUUUUACCAAAAUUAAGAAAGUAAAAAGGAAACAAUAGAAAUGGGGUAGGGGGUUGGCAGGCUGGGUUUGACCCCCUGGCUGUAUUUGCAGAGAGUAAAAUCUUGCCAGCUUCUACUUUAGGCUUAUUUCAUACAUGUUUUGUAUUCUAACUCUUAAUCAUCUUAGUUACUAUCCCCUAGGUGCUUGAUCUUGAAUAUUGAAACUAAUAACUGAAUCUUAAGUACUUAUUCAUUUGACUUCUGUUUGUGUCACCCCAAAAGGCAUAUGCUUAAACCCUUAUCAAGUAUGAUGGCUUUAGGAGGUGGGGCCUCUGGGAGGUGAUUAGGUUAUGAGGGUAGAGCCCUUGUGAAUGGGAUUAGUGCCCUUAUUAGAAGGACAGAGAGAUCAGGUAGUGUCAUGAGAAAUGAUGUGUAUGAAGAUACAGCAAGAAAGCAUCUGUCUACAAACCAGGAAGAGGGCCUUCAUCAGAAACGAAGUGGCCGGCACCUUGAUUCCAGAACUGAAGGCAGAGCCUUUGCUUUGUUUCUGGCUAUCGUUCCUGGUGCCUAGAACAGUGCCAGGCACAUAGGAGGCCCUCAGUCACGUGUUGCAUGAGUACCAGGAAUGAUGUGGCCUGUGAUUCCUUACUGCCGGGAGGUCCGCCUUCCUUCUGCCCCAUCCUGCUUAAAACAUACUCUCCUCGGUAGCUUGCUCAGAGCAGCAGUGUUUCUCAGCCUUGCUAUCAUUCGUAUAUUAGAAAUGCAAAAUGUCAGUGAAGGAAAAUAGCUUCCCUGCCCACCAAAUACUUCUGUGUUACUCGAGAGUUGAUGUGUAAUAGCAGUCAUGCCUAAUUGGAGAGAUCGGAGGUAAAGAAAUGAUCACAGCCCUCAGAAAAGAAAUGGAGUUAAGGAAUCUGGUUACAGGGCAGUUUCAGCUUUGUAGUUUAUGAUCAGUAACCACGUUUCCUGCCCUUCCUCAUUAAUGCACCCAGCUGUUUUUUUCCUAGGCCCCUUCAUGCCUUGAUGGAUAUUCUUCAUCUGUAAAUGGCUAACCCGGGAUAUAUCAUGUAGGUCUUCAUAGUUUGAAACAAGAGGCCGCUGAGCUUGACAGUUAAGCACACAGGUCUCAGAGUUGGACUUUAUGAGUUUGCAUUUGCCACUUAAUAACUGAUUAACCCUGAGCAAGUUACUUAACCUCUCUGUGCCACAGCUUUCUCCUCCAUAAUGAAGCUGCUCAUAUGUUCACUUUGUAGGGUGAUGUGUGCAGUGAUUCAGAGUGCCUACAUGUAAACAUUCAGUAAGAUGUCAAGUGCUAGUAUUCUGUGAUUUCCUUGUAAUGACUUAUAAUAUUUCCUAAAACGAAGAAUGGUGGGAGAAGAGAGGCAUUUAAAGUUUGAAACUCGUAUUCUGUACUUUUCACUGCUGAGUGAUUGAACGUGAAUCAAAUGAACCCACGUUCCACCUUCGUCUUGUCCUCAGCCUCUGAUUUGUGGAGCAGUGUGCUAAACAGCUAUGUGUAGGCUUUUGGUAGUGACAUUAACUGCAGGACUUGGUGUGGUUUGGGUUUUUGUCCUGCUUUUUAAUACUGGUGGAAGGCGAUGGCACAUUUAGAGUCGAACAAGCCAGUUUUCAGUUCUGAAAGUUCUUGAGUUCCAGCUCUUUGUGAUACCAUUUGAUGGAGAAACGGAAGUUUCAGUGAGCAUUGACAUUUUCUGCCUUAGGCACCAAAGUAGUAGAAAGCUGGAUUGGCCUCGGGACUCUCCACUCCAGGUUUAAGAGGCAAGGCCAACAAAAAUUCAAAAUGGCUUUAUUUAGAGUUCAGAGUUCGUCAGUGUUACUGUCAAGAAAUACUUUAGGGAGUUCAAAGAAAAGGUAAGAAUCUGAGGCUAGAGUGAUAGAAUCAACGGGUCCUUAGAGAGUUCGAGUGGCUCUGGAGGGUCAGUAACUGAAUUAGAGGUAAUGGAGCAAAGCGGGGGAUGGACACUUACUGAAUGUCUCCUGCCGGGCACUUGUGGAUUAAGCUGUGAGAAAAACAGGCUGGUUGGGAUAUGAGGGCAUAUGCAAAGAGGAAAUAGAAGGCAAGACUAGGUGUGUUAAGACGGAGCCAGAUGGCAGAGGACCUGAAUGCCAGAUGAAGUAAUUUAUAUCUGUUGAAGGCUUCGCGCCACAGGUGAAAGUAUAUCAGCCGUGUUCUCUGUAUCUGUUUAUCUUUUAGCAUCCCUAGAGCAGAGGCUGCAGGGUUGAAGAUCAGUUAAGAAAUUCCCACUACCAUUUGAGUUUGAGAUGACAAAACAUAGUCGAUGGCAGUGGAACAAAGAGAGAGAAGAGCUUUUAAAAAUGAUCGAUAGGAUUCGGUGUGUGGGAUAUCUGAGAUUAAUUAUGGGGGUCAGUACUCCUUUUUUUUUAACCUGUUGGGUUUGAGAUGAUAGUAAGACGUGAGUUGGUGAUGUCCUACAUUCUUAGAACAGUAUUUUGAGGGCCAACCACAUGCAGACUUUGAACAAGGCUCUGGGGGUACAUAGGGAUCGAGGCUGAUUAGCAUCCAUGUCCUCAUGGAGCUUACAAUCUCGUGGGAGAGGCCGACAAGUCGCACAGCUGUAAUUACAAACGGUGGUCGCCGAGAAUGGCGUGAAGGGUGGCCGUGAGGUGAGGGCGGUGGACCGCAGUGAACUAAAAGGCCAGUACAACCGGAGCAAAGACUGCGGGAUGAGGAGGCGGGAGAGGUAGGCAGGAGGCUACCUAAGAGGCGAAGGCUAUAAAAUCUGAUUUGAGUCAGCGCUGCAGAGUUGGUGGUUGACAGGAAACGUGUGUGGUAGACAGAAAACAGAGCUCUGAGCAAUGGUAGAAGCAAGGAAGCUGAAAAUAAGCCAGUAGAGGAGCGGCCCAGAACCAGGAGA